AUGAACGCUGGCGGCGUGCUUCACACAUGCAAGUCGAACGAAGCACUUUAUUUGAUUUCCUUCGGGACUGAUUAUUUUGUGACUGAGUGGCGGACGGGUGAGUAACGCGUGGGUAACCUGCCUUGUACAGGGGGAUAACAGUUGGAAACGGCUGCUAAUACCGCAUAAGCGCACAGCAUCGCAUGAUGCAGUGUGAAAAACUCCGGUGGUAUAAGAUGGACCCGCGUUGGAUUAGCUAGUUGGUGAGGUAACGGCCCACCAAGGCGACGAUCCAUAGCCGACCUGAUAGGGUGACCGGCCACAUUGGGACUGAGACACGGCCCAAACUCCUACGGGAGGCAGCAGUGGGGAAUAUUGCACAAUGGGCGAAAGCCUGAUGCAGCGACGCCGCGUGAGCGAAGAAGUAUUUCGGUAUGUAAAGCUCUAUCAGCAGGGAAGAUAAUGACGUUACCUGACUAAGAAGCACCGGCUAAAUACGUG
rnacentral:rRNA from 1 species